UACGUAGGGUGCAAGCGUUGUCCGGAAUUAUUGGGCGUAAAGAGCUCGUUAGGCGGUUUGUCGCGUCUGCUGUGAAAACCCGAGGCUCAACCUCGGGCCUGCAGUGGGUACGGGCAGACUAGAGUGCGGUAGGGGAGAUUGGAAUUCCUGGUGUAGCGGUGGAAUGCGCAGAUAUCAGGAGGAACACCAAUGGCGAAGGCAGAUCUCUGGGCCGUAACUGACGCUGAGGAGCGAAAGCAUGGGGAGCGAACAGG
rnacentral:rRNA from 1 species